UCCAUGGAUGACACUGAAAAGGCCAGAUGAGUGUUCCUUAACCUGCCUUGCAGCUGGUGCCCACAGUCCAGAGUGCAAUGGUGCAGCAGUGGGGAGCCCACCGAUCUGCUGAUCAGAAUAUUAAUGUUGAUGUGAAACAGGUGGUCCAGCCAUUUAACCUGCGUUCUGAUAAUUAGACCAUUAUCGCUCUAUCAAGGUGUUUGACACAUGCACAGAAUGGCUCAGUGACAUUCUCAAUCUGGCUGGCUGUGCUUUCCACCAUGGGGUAAAAUCAAGUCAUAACCAAGACUGGAGACUAGCAAGCCAAAUAUGAGCAAGUGACUAAGGACAAGGUCAACACAAGCAAUAAACUUAAAACAAUGCAAAUCACAUCAUUCCACUUCCCUGCCUAAAACCCUACAAGGUUUUUAACCCUUGUUUUAACAAGGGUUAAGAUGCAUUUGAAACUCUUUUCUUUUAAUUUUAUUUUUUAAAAAUUUUUAAAAAUUUUGUUUUAAUUAGUUACACAUUGUGGUGAGCCGCUUCUGCCGUUUCUGCAGAUUAUGGUCGCCAUUACAAGAUGACGCUGGCUCCGCUGUGGUCUGUGACAAACAACUUCUUAUCUGGGAAAGUUGGCACAUGAUUUUUCACCACCCUGUGAGAAAGCUCCACGCGGCAGCUUUGCAUUGGGGCUUGGGAUGCUUUAUUAAGGCUGGGAGGGGCAUCCGAGAGGAAGAAGAAGAAAUAUCCAGGGCCUGAAUAAACUGUUGAAAGAAGAUUCUCGAGUUGCGUCUUCCUUGCGGGCAAGGGGUCGCGACAAGUGGUGCCGAAACCCGGGAACCAGAACUUUCAACAGUCAGGGGUGGUGCACCGGUUAGUCCCAGGUAAGUGGGAUCCGCGAUCAAAGCGGGGUUAGUCCCUAGUAAGUGGGAUCCGCGACCAAAGCGGGACAGCUCCUCUGUAAUGAAAGAGAGAGCCUUACAUUUUAUUGCAGCUGCACUGUGUACU